GGAAUAUUGGACAAUGGGGGAAACCCUGAUCCAGCAAUGCCGCGUGUGUGAAGAAGGCCUGCGGGUUGUAAAGCACUUUCAGCAGGGAAGAAAAGCUCGGGGCUAAUCUCCCCGCGUCUUGACGUAACCUGAAGAAGAAGCACCGGCUAACUCCGUUCAAGCAGCCGCGGUAAUACGGGGGGUGCGAGCGUUAAUCGGAAUUACUGGGCGUAAAGCGCACGUAGGCGGCUUCCUAUGUCGGAUGUGAAAGCCCCGGGCUUAACCUGGGAAUUGCAUCCGAUACUGGGUAACUAGAGUACGGGAGAGGGAAGUGGAAUUUCCGGUGUAGCGGUGAAAUGCGUAGAUAUCGGAAGGAACACCAGUGGCGAAGGCGACUUCCUGGCCCAGUACUGACGCUGAGGUGCGAAAGCGUGGGGAGCAAAC
rnacentral:rRNA from 1 species